GGUCGAAUGGUGUAGUUGGUUAUCACUUCUGUCUAACAAUAACUAAAAUCACGUGAUCCUGUUCACAGGCGGUCCUCAGUUCGAACCUGGGUUCGAUCA